rnacentral:ncRNA from 2 species
AUAUCGUAUGGGAAUGAUAGUCUCCCGAGGUUUUACCUGAACUGCUUAUUCUGAGCUGAUGACAUCUGCAAUACG